rnacentral:rRNA from 1 species
GAUGAACGCUGGCGGCGUGCCUAAUACAUGCAAGUCGAGCGAACGGACGAGAAUCUUGCUUCUCUGAUGUUAGCGGUGGACGGGUGGGUAACACGUGGAUAACCGACCUAUAAGACUGGGAUAACUCCGGGAAACCGUAGCUAAUACCGGAUACUAUUUUGAACCGCAUUGUUCAAAAGUGAACGACGGUCUUGCUGUCACUUAUAGAUGGAUCCGCGCUGCAUUAGCUAGUUGGUAAGGUAACGGCUUACCAAGGCAACGAUGCAUAGCCGACCUGAGAGGGUGAUCGGCCACGCUGGAACUGAGACCCGGUCCAGACUCCUACGGGAGGCAGCAGUAGGGAAUCUUCCGCAAUGGGCGAAAGCCUGACGGAGCAACGCCGAGUGAGUGAUGAAGGUCUUCGGAUCGUAAAACUCUGUUAUUAGGGAAGAACAUAUGUGUAAGUAACUGUGCACAUCUUGACGGUACCUAAUCAGAAAGCCACGGCUAACUACGUG